rfam:Ovis aries breed Texel chromosome 17, whole genome shotgun sequence.
UCCCUGGUGGUCCAGUGAUUAAGACUCUGUGCUUCCAGUGCAGGGGGUGCAGGUUCCAACCCUGGUUAGGGAA